rfam:Lipomyces starkeyi NRRL Y-11557 unplaced genomic scaffold LIPSTscaffold_8, whole genome shotgun sequence.
GGACGGUUAGUGUAGUGGUUAUCAUAUUUGCCUUCCAAGCAAAUGACAGGGGUUCGAUUCUCCUACCGUUCA